AGAGUUGAUCCUGGCUCAGGAUGAACGCUAGCGACAGGCUUAACACAUGCAAGUCGAGGGGCAGCAUAAAAGUAGCAAUACUUUGGUGGCGACCGGCGCACGGGUGAGUAACGCGUAUGCAACCUACCUAUCAGAGGGGAAUAACCCGGCGAAAGUCGGACUAAUACCGCAUAAAACAGGGGCACCGCAUGGUGAUAUUUGUUAAAGAAAUUCGCUGAUAGAUGGGCAUGCGUUCCAUUAGGUAGUUGGUGAGGUAACGGCUCACCAAGCCGACGAUGGAUAGGGGAACUGAGAGGUUGGUCCCCCACACUGGUACUGAGACACGGACCAGACUCCUACGGGAGGCAGCAGUGAGGAAUAUUGGUCAAUGGGCGGGAGCCUGAACCAGCCAAGUCGCGUGAAGGAAGAAGGAUCUAUGGUUCGUAAACUUCUUUUGCAGGGGAAUAAAGUGCAGGACGUGUCCUGUUUUGUAUGUACCCUGAGAAUAAGGAUCGGCUAACUCCGUGCCAGCAGCCGC
rnacentral:rRNA from 1 species